rnacentral:rRNA from 1 species
CUACGGGUUGCUCCAGUAGGGAAUUUUCGGCAAUGGGGGAAACCCUGACCGAGCAACGCCGCGUGAAUGACGAAGUACUUCGGUAUGUAAAGUUCUUUUAUUAGGGAAGAAUGGCAGGUGGAAAAACCUGAUUGACGGUACCUAAUGAAUAAGCCCCGGCUAACUAUGUGCCAGCAGCCGCGGUAAUACAUAGGGGGCAAGCGUUAUCCGGAAUUAUUGGGCGUAAAGGGUGCGUAGGUGGUUAUUUAAGUCUUUGGUGUAAGUGCAGUGCUUAACGCUGUGAUGCUAAAGAAACUGGGUAACUUGAGUGUGGUAGAGGCAAGUGGAAUUCCAUGUGUAGCGGUAAAAUGCGUAAAUAUAUGGAGGAACACCAGUGGCGAAGGCGGCUUGCUGGGCCACAACUGACACUGAGGCACGAAAGCGUGGGGAGCAAACAGGAUUAGAUACCCCGGUAGUC